AUGAGAAUGACCUCAAAUAAUUUCUCUCUCCAUCCCUAUUUCCAUGCAGGUCCAUUGUCACUAAUAUGUGGUGUUGAAGUUUGUCUCUACUCAGCUGACAGACAGGAGAUGGAGGAAUCCAUUCUGUUCCAAAUUAUGCUGAUGCCCCAUUGUAAGAACCUGGAGAUCUUCACUGGUUCUGAGGGAGGUGACAUUGCUACAAACAAUGCCUGGAACAGCUUCCAGCGCUACUGUUGUCUUGACCACUCUCUGGCUGUUCUCCAGAUAUCUGCCACAACUUCAUCUUUAGUGUGUCAUCUCAGCUGCACCUGGGCACUAAAGAUUGAUCUGGCUUGCUGAUAACAUCUGAUCUGAUGAGACUCCCGAUGUGAUUUGACUCCUGUAUUAAUGACUUCAAUAAAACUUCCAAUGCCAAAUUGAGAUUGGUAUUCUGCAAUUGAUAGACAAUGGUAGUUCCCAGUCAGACAAUUACUAUAAAAC
rnacentral:lncRNA from 1 species